CACUGUUUGGCAGUGUCGUGUCUCCCAAACGCAGGGCUGUUGUGACUUAUUUGACAUAUCUUCCUGUUUCACAGGUUAAAGACUUUUUGAAGUAAAGAGGAGCAUCUCAUCUGAACCUGAUGUCUAUCAUGGAUAUUUAACUGCAGUUCUGUGAGUAUCCCAACUUAACCAUCAAGAUUAACUGCAAACUGUAAGUCAUAAAUUUCUCAUUAAUCUUGGGCACAUUGAUGUAUUUUGGCUUCCUGGUGAGUUAACCCGUUACCUGAAGGUUGAUCUGAGUGGUAAGGAUGUUUUAUUGGUUCAUGGGUUACUUAGGUGUUUGGUUUAUGUUGGUUUUAAUGAUUUGUUAAAAUGGCUCCCAAGUUAUCGUUGUAAGCUGGAGUAAUGGGUUGGGUUCUGAUAUCUUCAGUCUUCUUUCCAGCUACUCUCCUGAGCUCUGCAUCUUCAUCAAAUGAGUGUUGCUCUACUGAUUAGGCUGUGGUCUGAGUGAGCAGAGGUGCAUACUGGGAUACAGAGCUGUUUGAAGUCUACAGGUCUGUACACACGCCCCCUCAGGGGAAACCGAGUGUUUGAGAAACCGUUGUGAUGUCAGUUACAUGGACUGGAAUGUGCUUUAAGAUGGAGACAGGGAUUCAGAAGGAGAAACACCAGUUGGAGAUGAGGGGGCUCCUCAUCUCAACGACUAAAACACAACUUCAGUCUGACACAGAGAACCAUGGAACACAUUCAACAGUCCCCUCCAGCCAUCGUGACUCCUCAGGAACAGUUUCAUUUCCAAGAAGGUCUUAUUUGGGGCCAUCCCCAUAUGGAUCCUGCUCCUCAAGAGCCACCCCCCUCCACUGUGUGGUCUUCUGAACAGAUGACCUUCCUGUCCUCAGGCUGACUAAAGCUGCACCGUUUGCAUCUGUGAAGGCCCCUCAUUCAGGAAACCACUGGACUACAAAGACACGACUUCAGAGACGUUGAAUCACCUUGGGACACAUUUUGGAGACGCCAAGCAUAAUCCAUCACCAAUGUGGGACGCCACUGAAAAAUGUUGCACAUAAUUUACUUCUCUGGAGACAUUGGUUGUUCUCUUCUGGGUGCCCUGGCAGGAGAGCUGGGGUUGGAUGAUGGAACGUUAUUUGGCAUGAGGUUGUGUGUGUGUGUGUGUGUGUGUGUGUGUGUGUGUGUGUGUCCGUCCCACUCCCACCUGGCAUGGGAUUCUAUUUGUGUGUGUCCGGCUUGCUUUGACAGUAAUAAUGUUCAUACAGGGUUCUGUGUGAUUGGCUUGGGAUAUUGGAAUGGUCAAUUAAAUCAUACCUGAUGGACGGCCACACGUUUACUUAAGGGCCUCCAGUAGACAUAAAGAGCCCAUAGCGACGCGCCGGAGCGUGAUCCAACACACUGGGCAGGAAGGAGGGUAACCAACUCAAGUGUAAAAGGAUGCAAGCGGCGUGUUCAGAUCAGUGACUUCAAACUAGGACCAUUCAGGAUCAAUGGAGGAUGGACACCAAAAGGAAUUCCCAAUCAGGAUCAAUGGAGGUUGGACACCAAAAGGAAUUCCCAAAGGAGAGUCUGACGUUGGAAAGGGACCUAAAUGGAUAUUCAAGAUAACCUUCAGACCUGUAAUGAGACGGCUCUUCCUACCUGGCUGGAUUGAUGGAGAGCCCUGUGGAUCUUGUCUUGCUCUCAGUUGCACGUCUUCUCAGGCUGAAAUGUAUUCGUUUCGGACAGGACUAGCUGAACGAUUGGUUCCCUUAAAUCAGAACCAAUCCGGGAACUCCAACUAGUGCGCUCUUCGAGCUGAAGUUGUGCUCUUCAGCUGAGGAGGUAAGGAAACCUUCCCUGGGGUUUCAAGGUGUAAAGAGGAGGAUGUUUCAAAGUGUUCCAUGGUACUCUGAUGAGGACCGUUGUUGUGUUCCACUGGCUGGGAGGAAGAACCCUCACCUCUUCCUCUUGGCCUUUCUCCUCUGAGUAUCCUGGCGCCAUCUUGAAGGAUAUUCCAGCUCAUGCAACUGAUGUCACGACAGAUUCUCAAACACUUGGUUUCUCCUGAGGGGCGUGUCUAUAGAACUGAAGACUUGAGACGGCACUGUAUCCCAGCAUGCAUCUCUGCUCACUCAGACCACACCCCCAUGAGUAGGAUGCAACAUUCUAGGGAUGGAGAUGUAGAGUUUUAUAAGUAACGAGGGAGCAGACAAAGGUGUUUAGAACACAAUGGCAUGUCAAGUCUGUAAAUCUCUAAACCAUGAAGAUGAUUGGAUAGUUCAGGAAUUGGGCUUCUAUUUAUUAUGAGCAGUCCUUUCGCUCAGAUGCCCACUUCUCACUAGACCUGUACAUGUGUUGGCUGGCUGGCAUGAUUUGCUGUUGGUGAUGAGGCGGUCAAGGUGACGUUGCAGGGCUUAUGGUUGGCUCUCUGUGAGCUAAACGUUUAGAUUUGCUCUGUAUGGUUUGUACCCUGUAUAAUCUAUAUAAGUGUAAAAUGUAGACGCGGUUUUGUAUUGAAUGAUUCCAUUGUUCUUAGGCAAGGAUUUGAGGUUUAAAGUUGUUGUGGGACGUACAUGGUAGUUUGGUUCUUUGUAUGGUUUUGAGUGAUUUAGCUUGUACACACUGGGUGCAUAAUAAUGUAAAGGUACCAACAGCAACAAACAGAUCUCCUCAAGGUAAGUCUGUUGGCUGUGUUUUAAUGUAGACCAUCGCUGGACUUCAGGAUCUUCCUCCGUUCAGCUCAAGGUGAGGCACUGGUUAUGUUUUUUCUUUGGUUGGUUCCGGCCGGAAUGUUCGGAUUCCGGUCGGACGGUUUGUGCUUCCCGCCGUGGAGGUUCCUGAGUGUGGUCACUUUAUUUAGUCCCAAUGGUUAGCAUAGAACGUUGUAGUCUUGAUAAACAUUAGAGGCCACCUGGCAGUUAGUUGGAGCGGAGUCCCCUGAGGGAAUCUGGCAGAACGUUCUGGAUUGUAUUUGCGCAACCUCGAGCCGCUGCCAACGGAAACUAUUUUUCAGUCGGUUUCCAUUGGGAAUUGUUGCCCCUUAUCUUAAACAACUUAAGUUUGAUAUUAAAUAAUACAUUUCAUUUAAAGGGCGCCUUUCAAGACACCCAAGGUCACCUUACAGAGCAUAAAGUUAUCAUAAAUCGUUUAAAAACGAGACAUUGUGGAAAAAUAAUGAUAGAUAGAUAAAUAAAACAAAAACAAGACAAAACAAACAAUCAAGACAGUGAUCAGUUAGACGUAAAUACAUACUGAUACGUACGUCGUACAAUAUCUUGAUAAUUUUCGAUGGUUGCGCCGUACUUCUAACCACGUUGACGGGACUCGCGCUGCGUACGAAACGGCCUUCGACUUGCGGGCCCAUUUUUGACAUCGGUGAAGGCUGUAAAUCAUUUCAAGCUGGAAGACAUUUUGACAGUUCUUCAACGGAACCCAACACCUGAAUAUGGCUGAGUAAAUUUGAUUUAAUAUCGAUACUGCUUAGUGUUUGUUACUUCAGCUUUUGUACGUUCUAAAUAUCUGCGGCCAUUAAUUGCCACAGAAGUUAAACCCUACCCAAUGGAAUGACGUUAAACAACGACUUUGUUGCAGAGUUACCAACUGGAUAAUAUCAAAGCUAAAAUAAUGGCCGUUCUUCCCACAUGUUACAGUAGAAGAUUAUCCAGAACUGUACAAGGUUAAAAAGGUAACAUGUAGUUUGUACCAUGGUGUCUGCCUCCUCACCCAGAGCCAGACCUCCACCUCCUCACCCAGAGCCAGACCUCCACCUCCUCACCCAGAGCCAGACCUCCACCUCCUCACCCAGAGCCAGACCUCCACCUCCUCACCCAGAGCCAGACCUCCACCUCCUCAGCCAGAGCCAGACCUCCACCUCCUGUCAGAAGUCGUCCAGAACAGGCGAGGCUGAGAGGCUGGGGACCGGAGGCUUGUGGAGCCAGGGUGGACCGGAGACUGAGGCUGGAGACCAGGGGCCUGCAGCACCGGACCAGAGGACCAGGAAUCCAUGUCUGGUGGAGCUGAUGGAGGAGCCCUGCUGAAGGCCCUGCCUGGUGGAGCAGCUGGUGGAGGCCCUGCCUGGUGAAGGACAUCUGUCGUGGGACCAGGACUCUAUCUGAGGAGAGCUGCUGGAGGAGCUGAGACGCUGGAGGACGACUAGGAAUCGACCAACAAGGAUUCCUCAACGUGUUUCUGGAGCGGAGACGUUGGGGCCGGACUUGCGCUGUUUGUUCCAGACCAGGACUCUGGCUGAGGAGAGCUGAUGGAGGAGCCAAGACUCUGGAGGACGACAUCACUCCACCAACAAGGAUCCUCAGCCCAACUACUCCUCUGUUUGUUACCUUACAUCGGAGACAAAUUACGUUUGUAACCAGACCAGGAAUCUGGUUACCUGAUGGAGAAGCCGUACAUCUGGAAGUCAAAUCCUGAGGACAACCAGGACUCUACCAUCAAGGAGUCCUCACACACCUGAGCUGAACCCCAACUGAACCUGACAUCCUGCUGGUCCCGUCUCCUCAGUUCAUCUGCGCCUCGUCCUCCAGAAGACCUGCUGAGCUCAGCAGUCUGAGGCUGAUGUAUCAAUGACCUCCAGUGGGAGUGAUCUUCUUGACCCCACAUGACCAGGACUCUUUCUGAGGAGAGCUGCUGGAGGAGCUUAGACGCCGGAGGACGACAUCACUCUACCAACCAGGAUCCUCUACCAGGAAUCUGGAGGACCGAUGGUGAAGCCGUACAUCUGGAAGGCAAAUUCUGAGGACAACCAGGACUCUACCAUCAAGGAUUCCUCAUAAGUUUGCAUUAUCUGGACAUAGUGGACUAGACACACCUGAGCUGAACCUCACCUGAUCUUGUUUGGUCGGGGGAAGACACACCUGAGCUGAACCCGCCCUGAUCCUGACAUCCUGCUGGUCCCGUCUCCUCAGUUCAUCUGAGCCUCUUCCUCCAGAAGACCUGCUGAGCUCAGCAGUCUGAGGCUGAUGGAUCAAUGACCUCCAGUGGGAGUGAUCUUCUUGACCCCACAUGUAACGUGUGCUUCCACACGCCUUUCCCUCACGUCUGUCACUAACCUCACUACUUCACUACUCUCUACUGCUUCCUCUUUUCUUCCUUCUCUGUGGCUCAAACCUUUACACUGAAGGCGCGCCUUCCUGCCCUCAGAGGGUUCAACUUUAGGGGUUGAGAGUCAGGGUUUAGAGUCAGGGACAGAGCUGGUCAGGGAGGACUGCUUUUACACAAACCUCUUCACUUGCUUUCGGAAUGGUGGUGACAUUUUGAAAAGCCUCAUUUGGGAAAAUGUUUUCCUUUACAAAAGUGUUCUAAACUAUUGUCAUGUGUUUUUGUUUAUAUAUAUUAAAA